CCUACGGGAGGCAGCAGUGGGGAAUAUUGCGCAAUUGGCGAAAGCCUGACGCAGCGACGCCGCGUGAGGGAUGAAGGUCUUCGGAUCGUAAACCUCUGUCAGCAGGGAAGAACGGUCACUGUGCCAUUCAGCAGUGAAUUGACGGUACCUGCAAAGGAAGCACCGGCUAACUCCGUGCCAGCAGCCGCGGUAAUACGGAGGGUGCGAGCGUUAAUCGGAAUUACUGGGCGUAAAGCGCUCGUAGGCGGUAUGUCAAGUCAAGGGUGAAAUCCCCGCGCUCAACGUGGGAACUGCCUUUGAAACUGGCAGACUGGAGUGUGUGAGAGGAUAGUGGAAUUCCAGGUGUAGGAGUGAAAUCCGUAGAGAUCUGGAGGAACAUCGGUGGCGAAGGCGACUAUCUGGCACAUAACUGACGCUGAGGAGCGAAAGCGUGGGUAGCAAACAGGAUUAGAUACCCCGGUAGUC
rnacentral:rRNA from 1 species